UCUGCCACCUAUGUAACCUGAGCCUGGCGCCCCCAAAUGUGACCAGCAGCUGCCCGUUAUGAGGGCUCUGCGUGCCCACAUUCGGGCGCUGCGACCUGGCAUGCGCGGUUGCUUGCCGCCCUCAGCCGAGCUUGCCCAUAGCUAGAGCGACGUCUUUGUGCGAAGUCCAUAUGCAAGUAACGGGCCGUGGGCGUGCAAAGCACGGGGGUGUGCCGUGCUCCAACCCCGCCUGCAGCCCGAGCUAGAGAUGUGCCCGAGUGCCCGACUACCGCCCCGUCGCUGAGGGUCCCGCGCGCGCACAGGACCCCUAAGGCCACCGGCGCUGAGGGGUCAUGGAGGCAAGGGACCGUUCCCGCGCGCUCCCGAGCCGCGUACGCGCCCAGCGCGCUCCCUGCUGUGACGCAGCCACCUCCACCACCCGCUUCUAGGCAGUCAGGUGACUCCACCUUCUUGUGACGUCAGCUCAGCAGUGGCGUCUGAGGCAGGUGGCAAGAGGGCGAGUGAGAGAGCGAGAAGCGGGGCUGCUAGGCGCGCAGGGCCAUAGAGGGAGAAUCCUGGAGAUUUAUUAUCAGUCAGUAGUCCAAUCACACUUCUGCCCUGUGGUGCCAACAGCAGCAAUUUUCAAUUGAUGGAAUCAUACAGUUCUAGAGGAAUGCUAGGAGCCAGUGGAGUUUGGGAAGGGGGAGACAUCUAGAACAGAGG